rnacentral:rRNA from 1 species
GACGAACGCUGGCGGCAUGCCUAACACAUGCAAGUCGAGCGAGCGGCGGACUGGUGAGUAAUGUAUGGAGAUCUGCCUGAUGGAGGGGUAUAACUACUGGAAACGGUAGCUAAUACCGCAUACCGUCCGAUGGACCCAUAUGGGAUUAGCUUGUUGGUGAGGUAACGGCGCACCUAGGCGACGAUCCCUAGCUGGUCUGAGAGGCUGAUCAGCCACACUGGGACGGAGACACGGCCCAGACUCCUACGGGAGGCAGCAGUGGGGAAUAUUGGACAAUGGGCGAAAGCCUGAUGUAGCCAUGCCGCGUGUAUGAAGAAGGUCUUCGGGUUGUAAAGCACUGUCAGUCGGGAGGCGUUACCGACAGAAGAAGCACCGGCUAACUACGUGCCAGCAGCCGCGGUAAUUC